GGAAUCCUACGGGAGGCAGCAGUGAGGAAUAUUGGUCAAUGGGCGGAAGCCUGAACCAGCCACGUCGCGUGAGGGAUUAAGGCCCUAUGGGUCGUAAACCUCUUUUGUCAGGGAGCAAUGGCGUCCACGUGUGGGCGUAUGGAGAGUACCUGAAGAAAAAGCAUCAGCUAACUCCGUGCCAGCAGCCGCGGUAAUACGGAGGAUGCGAGCGUUAUCCGGAUUUAUUGGGUUUAAAGGGUGCGUAGGCGGGACCUUAAGUCAGCGGUAAAAUUGCGGGGCUCAACGCCGUAGAGCCGUUGCAACUG
rnacentral:rRNA from 1 species